UACAGAGGGUGCGAGCGUUAAUCGGAAUUACUGGGCGUAAAGGGUGCGUAGGCGGCUCAUUAAGUCAGAUGUGAAAUCCCCGGGCUUAACCUGGGAACUGCGUUUGAUACUGGUGAGCUAGAGUAUGGUAGAGGUAAGUGGAAUUUCCGGUGUAGCGGUGAAAUGCGUAGAUAUCGGAAGGAACAUCAGUGGCGAAGGCGACUUUCUGGACCAAUACUGACGCUGAGGCACGAAAGCGUGGGGAGCAAACAGG
rnacentral:rRNA from 1 species